GACGAACGCUGGCGGCGUGCUUAACACAUGCAAGUCGAACGGAAAGGCCCUGCUUUUGUGGGGUGCUCGAGUGGCGAACGGGUGAGUAACACGUGAGUAACCUGCCCUUGACUUUGGGAUAACUUCAGGAAACUGGGGCUAAUACCGGAUAGGAGCUCCUGCUGCAUGGUGGGGGUUGGAAAGUUUCGGCGGUUGGGGAUGGACUCGCGGCUUAUCAGCUUGUUGGUGGGGUAGUGGCUUACCGAGGCUUUGACGGGUAGCCGGCCUGAGAGGGUGACCGGCCACAUUGAGACUGAGAUACGGCCCAGACUCCUACGGGAGGCAGCAGUGGGGAAUAUUGCACAAUGGGCGGAAGCCUGAUGCAGCAACGCCGCGUGCGGGAUGACGGCCUUCGGGUUGUAAACCGCUUUCGCCUGUGACGAAGCGUGAGUGACGGUAAUGGGUAAAGAAGCACCGGCUAACUACGUG
rnacentral:rRNA from 1 species